rnacentral:rRNA from 1 species
UACGGGGGGGGCAAGCGUUGUUCGGAAUUACUGGGCGUAAAGGGCUCGUAGGUGGCCAACUAAGUCAGACGUGAAAUCCCUCGGCUUAACCGGGGAACUGCGUCUGAUACUGGAUGGCUGGAGAUUGGGAGAGGGAUGCGGAAUUCCAGGUGUAGCGGUGAAAUGCGUAGAUAUCUGGAGGAACACCGGUGGCGAAGGCGGCGACCUGGGUCGAGACUGACGCUGAGGUGCGAAAGCGUGGGGAGCAAACAGG